CUAUUAACAUAUGUGUAUCAUACUGAUGUUUGUGUGUGUAUAUAUAUAUAUAUAUAUAUAUAUAUAUAUAUAUAUAUAUAUAUAUACAUACACACAAACAUCAGUAUGAUACACAUAUGUUAAUAG